UCCGGUUUGUCACCGGCAGUCUCGUUAGAGUGCCCAGCUUUACCUGAUGGCAACUAACGAUAAGGGUUUCGCUCGUUAUGGGACUUAACCCGACACUUCACAGCACGAGCUGACGACAGCCAUGCAGCACCUGUGAUGGUUCCGGAUUGGAUACCGGUCAUAAGCGUUUCCGCUUCUUACUUCCACCAUGUCAAGUCCAGGAUAAGGUUCUUCGCGUUGCUUCGAAUUGAGCCACAUGCUCCACCGCUUGUGUGAGCCCCCGUCAAUUCCUUUGAGUUUUAGCCUUGUGACCGUACUUCCCAGGUGGCAGACUUAACAAUUUCGCUCCGACCGCAACGGGGUGUAACCCGCUGCAGUCUAGUCUGCAUCGUUUAGGGCGUGGACUAC
rnacentral:misc_RNA from 1 species